CCUACGGGUGGCAGCAGUGAGGAAUAUUGGUCAAUGGGCGCGAGCCUGAACCAGCCAAGUAGCGUGAAGGAUGACUGCCUACGGGUUGUAAACUUCUUUUAUAAAGGAAUAAAGUGAGGCACGUGUGCCUUGUUGUAUGUACUUUAUGAAUAAGGAUCGGCGAACCCCGUGCAAGCAGCCGCGGUAAUACGGAGGAUCCGAGCGUUAUCCGGAUUUAUUGGGUUUAAAGGGUGCGUAGGCGGGCUUUUAAGUCCGCGGUGAAAGUCUGUGGCUCAACCAGAGAAUUGCAGUUGAAACUGGGGGGCUUGAGUAUGUUUGAGGCAGGCGGAAUGCGUGGUGUAGCGGUGAAAUGCUUAGAUAUCACGCAGAACCCCGAUUGCGAAGGCAGCCUGCCAAGCCAUGACUGACGCUGAUGCACGAAAGCGUGGGGAUCAAACAGGAUUAGAUACCCCUGUAGUC
rnacentral:rRNA from 1 species